CGAGCGAGCUUGCCUAGAUGAAUUUGGUGCUUGCACCAGAUGAAACUAGAUACAAGCGAGCGGCGGACGGGUGAGUAACACGUGGGUAACCUGCCCAAGAGACUGGGAUAACACCUGGAAACAGAUGCUAAUACCGGAUAACAACACUAGACGCAUGUCUAGAGUUUAAAAGAUGGUUCUGCUAUCACUCUUGGAUGGACCUGCGGUGCAUUAGCUAGUUGGUAAGGUAACGGCUUACCAAGGCAAUGAUGCAUAGCCGAGUUGAGAGACUGAUCGGCCACAUUGGGACUGAGACACGGCCCAAACUCCUACGGGAGGCAGCAGUAGGGAAUCUUCCACAAUGGACGCAAGUCUGAUGGAGCAACGCCGCGUGAGUGAAGAAGGGUUUCGGCUCGUAAAGCUCUGUUGGUAGUGAAGAAAGAUAGAGGUAGUAACUGGCCUUUAUUUGACGGUAAUUACUUAGAAAGUCACGGCUAACUACGUGCCAGCAGCCGCGGUAAUACGUAGGUGGCAAGUGUUGUCCGGAUUUAUUGGGCGUAAAGCGAGUGCAGGCGGUUCAAUAAGUCUGAUGUGAAAGCCUUCGGCUCAACCGGAGAAUUGCAUCAGAAACUGUUGAACUUGAGUGCAGAAGAGGAGAGUGGAACUCCAUGUGUAGCGGUGGAAUGCGUAGAUAUAUGGAAGAACACCAGUGGCGAAGGCGGCUCUCUGGUCUGCAACUGACGCUGAGGCUCGAAAGCAUGGGUAGCGAACAGGAUUAGAUACCCUGGUAGUCCAUGCCGUAAACGAUGAGUGCUAAGUGUUGGGAGGUUUCCGCCUCUCAGUGCUGCAGCUAACGCAUUAAGCAC
rnacentral:rRNA from 1 species